CGCGCACACAAACUCGCGCGCACACGGUCCCUCCCGCUGCCCUUGUUUCCUCUCCUGCGCUCUUGUUCUGCGCACCUGCAGCCAGAGGAGCGGGAGGAGGAGGAGAAGGAGAGCGCGCGGGAUCAUCCUCAUCCCUCAGUAUCCCCGCGCGCGCUUUUCCUUCCAGCGCAGAGGAGGAGCGGCAAAGCGGCCGGCGCUGCGCGGCGUCAGGCAGUUUGGCACGUGUGCCGACUACGUGGGUCAACAAAGGAGCAAAUCUGAGAUCAACAUAAUCAAAACAGGUUCGGGAAGGGAUGUUUGGAGAAUAAGCUUCCCUCAACUUUCACCUCACUUCCUGGUGACGGAGCAUCAAACACCACAGGUAUGUCCAUUCUAUUGUAGGCACUCUGUGUCUUUUCUGCACUUUAUUCCUGCUUUAGAUUUCAUGUUGAGUUUAUUAUUCUUGCAGCUAUUCUUUCAUGUCAAUCAUUCUUUCUGUCCAUUGGGCAUUUGCUUUUUUCUAACUCAUUUUAUUUCUCUCUAAACUCUUCUACAUUCAUUAUUUUCCUUCAUCUAUAAUUCAAUUGUUUCAUUCAUAUUUUUCUCUUUUUUUUUUCUUUUCUUGUACUGUCUCAAUUUUUCUCUUCUUGCUAUACGUUGAUAUCCCAUAAUCCAAAGCUCCCCAUGUGCGGGCCCCAUCCUCCAAUUGGGGGGUAGUGUGUUUUUACAAUAGGUGUUGUGCUAUUGUGUACGUCAGUGUUUAUGUGGUAAUGCUUGAGCUUCCAGCAGUGAAUGGCACUUUUUUUUUUUUUUUAUUUCAGACUGAAAUCAUGACUACUUUCCUAAAGAUGUGUGCAUGGAUGUGUUUGCACAAUCCCAGACAGCUGAGAGCACAGCUUUAUGUAUACAUGAAGAUUAUCUGCUCAUAGGUUUGAAAAGAUGACACAUUUCUAAAAAUGUAAAACAGGAAAUUCAAACUAUUAACAGUCUAGAGAACCGUGUGAGCAAAUGUCUUUAUAAAAUAUGACUAUCGUUUUUUCAAAACUCUGCUGAAAUUGAUUUCACCUGAUUAGAAAUCUUCAAGGUCUUGUGAAAUUACACAUUUGCUGUCACCCCUUUUCAAUAAAAAAAAAAAAAGAAAUUCAUGCAGGAAUCGUUGCUCUUGUACAAAUGCAGAUGAAAUUGCUCUGUGGUGUUUUUAAACUCGGUGCCAGAGAAAAGCAAAGAAAAUGGUUUGGGCUGUCCUAAAGUUCCAUCUGCAAACUGGGGAGACUGAAAAGCAGUUAUUAUCUUCACACAAACAUGCACUUUAUGUCCCUUUUUUACAUAUUUUUCUUUUCUGCAGGACAUCACAGUAAGCUCAUUUUUUAACGACUAAACACUGGUCACUAGGAACGGGACAGACUUGAGUGUGAAGAUCAUUUUUAGGCAUCAUGAAGAGAAAAGAGCUGAAAAGACAAGUGGCAGUCUUCUUGGGAAAUUGUUGUUUGGCAGUCGUACAUUACUUUAACACAAAAUAAAAGGAAAUGGCACUAAUAUCUUAAAUAUUUACCAACUAGUCAAAGUUUUACUAAUUCUGUUGGAACUUUAAAAUAAAGAACUUUAAAGUCUACAAAGUGUGACAACUCAAGCAAAAAAAAAAUGAUAAUGAUAGCCUAAAAAGAGAUAUUUAUUAUUAACUUUUGAAAAAUGUUGUUAAAAAUGCAGCGAAGAGAAAAGCUGUUCUUUUUUUAAUCUAAAAUUAUUGCAGAUUGUCUUUUGCUCUCUCUGUCAUCUUUAGAAUAGUCUGAAUGUCAGGUAAAAUGAAAUGGAGUAAAUCCAUGGUAACCUGGAAUCUGUGUUGCAGACGGAGCAGAUAAGCAGAGUGUCACCCGAGCAGAAAACAAGCUUGGAAAAUCCUCCAACAGCUGCUGAACCAAACACGUGUUUCAUAUUUCUUCAAACAAACAAACGACCCAGUAAACACUUCAGUUCAUUUUUGUAACAAACCAUCAGAGAAGUUUCAAAAGCAACAUUUCUUUAUUUGUUUUUUGAUCAGGAAAACAGAUAUUUGUAUUUUGAAUCAAAUAUGUUGCUGGUGCUUACGCCUCCUGCCUCCUUUGCUGCGUUCACAGACAGCAUGGUUAACUGCUCCAGGUUAUCAAGCGCUCUGCAUCUUUCUGUUCUGACCGAUCUGAGCCGCUUUGGCUUUAUAAUACUCGGCACCUUAUUGCUGACUUGCUGACAGAUUAGAAGACGUCUGCUGGAACUCUAACCUGCUCUAGUCUAAAGUGCAUUUUUUUGCUAGUUUACCCAAAUUGAUAAAUCCUGACCCAAAAUACAUUUUUUUUCGCAAAUGAAACACUAUUAUUUUUACAUUUACAUUUUUUAUGGCUUAAAUUGAACUACCAGUUUAUUGUUUCAACAAUAUUUUAAACAUUGGUCUAAUUCUGUGGCUAUACACAGCUGGAUUUUUUUUUGUGCAACUUCAAAAAUUCAAGUUAAUAAACUGUAUUGCCAUGUCCUAUUUUAAAUUAGCAUUUGCAACAUGCAACAAGUGUGAGUCACCACACUUCAGGAGUCUUUUGUAGGUGUGCUUUGUGUGUGUGAGUGUGUGAGUCGGUCACCCCAGGGUGAGGGGAUUAAGAGAGAGCCAAUGCAGUAAAGGUUAGCGCUUGGUCUCUCACUGAGGCCUCUAUCACACACACAAAUCUCUGAAAAGACAGAGGGCGAUGGGGAGGAGAGCCAGAUGACAUUAUUAUGGGCCCACAGCCACUCCACCCGAGGGAUGAGUUCUCACAAAGCUCAUCAAGUCGCCGUGGAAAGCUGAUAAAUUCCCGACACAAAUCCUCAAGACAGAAAGUAAUUGAGCUAAACUAUAGAUGAAAAAUCUAAAAAGGGAAACUUUCUUUAACAUCACUCUGCUGCUGAAUAUUGGUUUCCCCACUCUCUGCUGCUGAUGGACUGUGUUUUGAGUUUUGUUUUACUGAUUUCAUUUUGGGAGGUGGACAUUUUGGGAUAUUUUGGCUUCUGUGAGACUUCACAAAAUGGCGGACUGGCGGAUUGGAGAAAGAGGAGGAACCAGGGAGGUAUGAGAGUGUGCCAGCUUGACUGCAUGAAUGUGCCGGUGCUGCUGCCUGUCCUGCUUUGGCAUUUACUUACAAAAACUACAAUUAAAAACAAUAUUUGUCCCACUUCAGAUGGGUUAAGAAAGGUUUUAGAUUGAUCCCCUCCUUUUUUCAUAUUUCAAUCUCUAACUGGUGUUUUAACCUUUAGUUUUGUGGGAUGUUGAAUUCUGAACUCAACUUUGAAAAAGACAAAAAAAAAUGAGCCUGCAUUUAACUUCUACAUCAUUCAUUGAUAUUUUUUUGUACGUUUUAGCUUUAAAAAAAACAAUUGAUGUAUUUUACCUUUUUUUUUUAUUUGUGAAUAAAAAUUAAUUAAAAAAAAAUCCUAAAACACAAUGGUUCUAAAAGAAAGCAGUAAAAAAAGAGAACAUGUUUGUGAUAGAAUCCCUGUAGAUAAAGCUGUCACCAUUGGUCCACAGGUCACCUCUGUAUCUUUAUAUGAUGUGAAAGCUGUUUCUUCUUUGUGGAACUUUUCCUCGCAGUUCAUUUCCAUGUUUUCUUUUGGAAAGAGGAAUUCUGUUUCCUGUUUUGCCUAUCCAGUAGUUCAGUGAGUUAUCUUUUUAUUUAAAGAUGUUAGGAUAAAGAUUCAUUUUCCAAAAGAAGUACUUUAGGAGCUUGUGUGAUUG